UUUUUUUUUCUUUUUUUCUUUCUCUUUGUUUUGGUCUCUAACAUUUAUGUUAAAGGAUCUACUCAAAUAUCUGGUUAUACUUGAUUGUCUGCUCGUGUUUAAAAGUGGGGGUCUAAAUAGCUGAUCUGUAGUCUCAGCAUAUGAGUGGAGCUGAUUGAACAUGAGCUUUACUUUAGGGUGCUCUGCUUGGGCCCACGUCAGUAUGUUUAAGGCUUUUCUUUUGGAUUGGUCAGAUGCCCCAAAGAAGGCUCUUUCAUCUCUGAUCUGAAGGUAAAGGUCUGACUGCCAGUGUUCUGUGUGUUGAGUGGAGAAAUUUGGCUGGAGGGUCUCAGAAUUUACGACGUACAGGAUUACAAAAUCCCCGUGUGUCUGUAUGAUACUCAUCCUUCAGUUAGGCCUGGUAUCCUCUAGAGUAGACCAGACCCCCUCUAUCUUGCCCUCUCUGUAGUAUGAACCUCUUGUUUUCACCAGAGUGGGAGGACAGUCACCCAGUGGGGUGAAGCAGAGAAGAGGAUCUAGGAUCUGUUUCCUCAGAAGCUUUCAACAAAUCCUGUUGUCUGUCCCAUUUUCAGAGGUACCUGGUGCCAGUUCCUGAGACUUGAGGAUUCUGGUUGGUUCUCAGCACAGGAGUCAGCCUGCUCUGAUUUGCUAGUGAUGUCCUAACCAAUCUCCCUGAAAAAUUAUCUGUGAAAUUUAUUUCUAUACAUCCAACAAGCACAAUGAACUCUAGGUAGAAUAAAUUCAGUGAGGUCCACAUCAAGAACAUUGUAAUCAAACUGUUGAAUGUCAAAGACAGAGAAUCUUGAAAGCAACAAGAAAGAAUCAACUAUCAUGUACAAGGGAACCUUAGUAAGAUGAACAGUUGGCUAUUUAUCAGGAACUAUGGAAGCCAGAAAACAGUGGGCAUAUUUAAAGUGCUGAAAGAAAAGAACCUAUCAACCAAGAAUUCUGUAUCUGGCAAAAUUGCCCUUCAAAAGUGAGGAAGAAAUUGAGAUAUUCCCAAUAAACAAAAGCUGAGGGGUUCACUACAAGUAGACCUGCCCUGCAAGAAAUGCUACAAGAUGUCCUCAAGUUGAAAUGAAAGGACACUAAAUGGUAACUUGAAGCUGUAUGAAGAAAUAAAGGUCUACAGUAAAGUGCGUCUAGAGUGUUGACAGUUGUUUCCAUGGACUUCAAAUCAACCCAACCCUGUGAGCACAGACUUUCAGCACCAGAGUCAGAUUUCCCAAAAAUGCUAUUCUUGAAGCGUAGAGCCAGACUCACAGAUCCUGUAAAGAAAACAGAUCUUUCAGCAAGUGAAACACCCAAUCUUCCAUUGCAUGGGACUCACAGAGGUUCUGAGGGAGAGAUGUGAAUAGAAGGAGUGAUCAUCACUGUGGACUCUAUUUCUUCCAUCUGUGCGUGCAAGAUUUAUAUCUGUAUGUGUUUGUUUUAAAGUUUUAUUGAGGUAUAAUUGAUACACAAUAAUCUGUACCUAUUUAAUGUAUACAAUUUGAUGAGUUUGGACAUACUUAAAUACCUGUGAAACCAUCACCACAAUCAAGGUAAUAGACAUAGCCAUCACCUCC
ensembl:lncRNA novel transcript